UAGGGAAUCUUCCGCAAUGGGCGAAAGCCUGACGGAGCAACGCCGCGUGAGUGAUGAAGGUCUUCGGAUCGUAAAACUCUGUUAUUAGGGAAGAACAUAUGUGUAAGUAACUGUGCACAUCUUGACGGUACCUAAUCAGAAAGCCAUGGCUAACUACGUGCCAGCAGCCGCGGUAAUACGUAGGUGGCAAGCGUUAUCCGGAAUUAUUGGGCGUAAAGCGCGCGUAGGCGGUCUUUUAAGUCUGAUGUGAAAGCCCACGGCUCAACCGUGGAGGGUCAUUGGAAACUGGAAAACUUGAGUGCAGAAGAGGAAAGUGGAAUUCCAUGUGUAGCGGUGAAAUGCGCAGAGAUAUGGAGGAACACCAGUGGCGAAGGCGACUUUCUGGUCUGUAACUGACGCUGAUGUGCGAAAGCGUGGGGAUCAAACA
rnacentral:rRNA from 1 species